AUACAUGCAAGUCGAGCGCGCCCUUCGGGGUGAGCGGCGGACGGGUGAGUAACGCGUGGGAAUAUGCCCUUCUCUAAGGAAUAGCCUCUGGAAACGGAGAGUAAUACCUUAUACGCCCUUUGGGGGAAAGAUUUAUCGGAGAAGGAUUAGCCCGCGUUAGAUUAGGUAGUUGGUGGGGUAAUGGCCUACCAAGCCUACGAUCUAUAGCUGGUUUGAGAGGAUGAUCAGCCACACUGGGACUGAGACACGGCCCAGACUCUUACGGGAGGCAGCAGUAGGGAAUCUUAGACAAUGGGGGCAACCCUGAUCUAGCCAUGCCGCGUGUGUGAUGAAGGCCCUAGGGUCGUAAAGCACUUUCGCCAGAGAUGAUAAUGACAGUAUCUGGUAAAGAAACCCCGGCUAACUCCGUGCCAGCAGCCGCGGUAAUACGGAGGGGGUUAGCGUUGUUCGGAAUUACUGGGCGUAAAGCGCACGUAGGCGGAUUAGUAAGUUAGAGGUGAAAUCCCAGGGCUCAACCCUGGAACUGCCUUUAAUACUGCUAGUCUUGAGUUCGAGAGAGGUAAGUGGAAUUCCGAGUGUAGAGGUGAAAUUCGUAGAUAUUCGGAGGAACACCAGUGGCGAAGGCGGCUUACUGGCUCGAUACUGACGCUGAGGUGCGAAAGUGUGGGGAGCAAACAGGAUUAGAUACCCUGGUAGUCCACACCGUAAACGAUGAAUGCCAGACGUCAGCAAGUAUACUUGUUGGUGUCACACCUAACGGAUUAAGCAUUCCGCCUGGGGAGUACGGUCGCAAGAUUAAAACUCAAAGGAAUUGACGGGGGGCCCGCACAAGCGGUGGAGCAUGUGGUUUAAUUCGAAGCAACGCGCAGAACCUUACCAACCCUUGACAUCCUGUGCUACUACCAGAGAUGGUACGUUCCCUUCGGGGACGCAGUGACAGGUGCUGCAUGGCUGUCGUCAGCUCGUGUCGUGAGAUGUUCGGUUAAGUCCGGCAACGAGCGCAACCCACAUCUUUAGUUGCCAGCAGGUUAAGCUGGGCACUCUAGAGAAACUGCCCGUGAUAAGCGGGAGGAAGGUGUGGAUGACAUCAAGUCCUCAUGGCCCUUACGGGUUGGGCUACACACGUGCUACAAUGGCAGUGACAAUGGGUUAAUCCCCAAAAGCUGUCUCAGUUCGGAUUGGGGUCUGCAACUCGACCCCAUGAAGUCGGAAUCGCUAGUAAUCGCGUAACAGCAUGACGCGGUGAAUACGUUCCCGGGCCUUGUACACACCGCCCGUCACACCAUGGGAGUUGGUUCUACCCGACGACGCUGCGCUAACCCUUCGGGGAGGCAGGCGGCCACGGUAGGAUCAGCGACUGGGGUGAAGUCGUA
rnacentral:rRNA from 1 species